UACGUAGGGUGCAAGCGUUAAUCGGAAUUACUGGGCGUAAAGCGUGCGCAGGCGGUUAUAUAAGACAGUUGUGAAAUCCCCGGGCUCAACCUGGGAACUGCAUCUGUGACUGUAUAGCUAGAGUACGUAGAGGGGAUGGAAUCCGCGUGUAGCAGUGAAAUGCGUAGAGAUCGGGAGGAACAUCAGUUGCGAAGGCGGCUCUCUGGACCAGCACUGACACUGAGGCACGAAAGCGUGGGGAGCAAACAGG
rnacentral:rRNA from 1 species